rnacentral:rRNA from 1 species
UACGAAGGGGGCUAGCGUUGCUCGGAAUCACUGGGCGUAAAGGGUGCGUAGGCGGGUCUUUAAGUCCGGGGGGAAAUCCUGGAGCUCAACUCCAGAACUGCCUUUGAUACUGAAGAUCUUGAGUUCGGGAGAGGUGAGUGGAACUGCGAGUGUAGAGGUGAAAUUCGUAGAUAUUCGCAAGAACACCAGUGGCGAAGGCGGCUCACUGGCCCGGUACUGACGCUGAGGUGCGAAAGCGUGGGGAGCAAACAGG